rnacentral:tRNA from 2 species
GUAAAGGAAAGCAGCAAAAAUUUCCUCCGAAGGCAGAGGUCACAGGUUCGAAUCCUGUCGGGUGCGCCA